rnacentral:rRNA from 1 species
GACGAACGCUGGCGGCGUGCUUAACACAUGCAAGUCGAGCGGAAAGGCCACUUCGGUGGUACUCGAGCGGCGAACGGGUGAGUAACACGUGAGUAAUCUGCCCCUCACUUUGGGAUAGCCACCGGAAACGGUGAUUAAUACCGGAUAUGACCAUAUGUCGCAUGGCGUGUGGUGGAAAGUUUUUCGGUGAGGGAUGUGCUCGCGGCCUAUCAGCUUGAUGGUGAGGUAAUGGCUCACCAUGGCUUCGACGGGUAGCCGGCCUGAGAGGGUGACCGGUCACACUGGGACUGAGGCACGGCCCAGACUCCUACGGGAGGCAGCAGUGGGGAAUAUUGGACAAUGGGCGGAAGCCUGAUCCAGCAACGCCGCGUGAGGGAUGACGGCCUUCGGGUUGUAAACCUCUUUCAGUACCGACGAAGCGCAAGUGACGGUAGGUACAGAAGAAGCACCGGCCAACUACGUG